rnacentral:rRNA from 1 species
CGAACGCUGGCGGCAGGCCUAAUACAUGCAAGUCGAACGGCUCUUCGGAGCAGUGGCAGACGGGUGAGUAACGCGUGGGAAUGUGCCCUUUGGUACGGAACAACACAGGGAAACUUGUGCUAAUACCGUAUGUGCCCUUCGGGGGAAAGAUUUAUCGCCAUUGGAGCAGCCCGCGUUGGAUUAGGUAGUUGGUGAGGUAAAGGCUCACCAAGCCUACGAUCCAUAGCUGGUCUGAGAGGAUGACCAGCCACACUGGGACUGAGACCCGGCCCAGACUCCUACGGGAGGCAGCAGUAGGGAAUCUUGCGCAAUGGGCGAAAGCCUGACGCAGCCAUGCCGCGUGUAUGAUGAAGGUCUUAGGAUUGUAAAAUACUUUCACCGGGGAAGAUAAUGACGGUACCCGGAGAAGAAGCCCCGGCUAACUUCGUGCCAGCCGCCGCCGUAACAC